rnacentral:tRNA from 4 species
GGUGAGUUACUCAAGUGGCCAACGAGGGCGGAUUGUAAAUCCGCUGACUACGUCUUCGAAGGUUCGAAUCCUUCACUCACCACCA